UACGGAAGGUCCGGGCGUUAUCCGGAUUUAUUGGGUUUAAAGGGAGCGCAGGCGGGAUUUUAAGCGUGUUGUGAAAUGUAACGGCUCAACCGUUGAAUUGCAGCGCGAACUGGAGUCCUUGAGUGAGUACGACGUCAGCGGAAUUCGUGGUGUAGCGGUGAAAUGCUUAGAUAUCACGAAGAACUCCGAUUGCGAAGGCAGCUGACGAGUCCUUAACUGACGCUAAAGCUCGAAAGUGCGGGUAUCGAAC
rnacentral:rRNA from 1 species